rnacentral:lncRNA from 1 species
CGUUUCGACUUUCGUUUACCUAUUGGCUCUUUAUUUAAUGGUGAUGAAGCAACAGAACGAAGGGUUGGACGAGUCUUUAACUCAGUGCCGACUGGAGGUGAAGCGGGUAAGGAAGCAGCCGGAGAUGGAGCAACAAAAGUAUUUCCUAAUUUUGAGCCCUUCGUAUCUUUGGGUUGAGGUUUUGAAAGAGGAGUGGCAUAAUUAUUAACAGCGGAUUUUUCGUUUAUGGACACCCCUUUGCUUGUGACAGGCGAUGAUGCUUUUGCUGAUGGGUCUGGCAUUGAUUCAGGUGACUUAGUAACAGAACUUGAACUCCCUUGUUCGAGAUUGCUACUAGGGAGUCGAGAACUUAUCGAUGAAGGACUUUCACCAUCAAUAGUAGUAAUCUUUGGAGGAUCCAAUUCUUCCAAAGCUUCGAUAGAUAUAGCUGAAGCUGGUGCUUUUCCUUUCAUAGCACUUGGAAUAGGUCUAGGAGGUACGGAAGAAGAUUCCGAUGCACCGCCCGUAAAUUUAGUAGGAACGUUAGAAGAUGGUUGAGGAGCAUACAAGUUGCCCUUAGAUGAAUGAUAAGGUAAACCAGGAAAUGAAGUUCCUUCCUUAUCAACAUCAAUGCUACUGGUAGAAGGAGAAGAGAUGGGCUCAGUAAGACGAGAAGGUAAACCGCUAUUUUGAGAAAUUGAGUCCGUAGGGGAUGAACGUUUUAAUAUCGGUGAUGUGGCCGAAGGUUCGUUAGAAUCAAAACGAGAUACAUUUUCAGGGACCGCAGAUUGCGUAGACUUAGAAUUGCGCGAACUUGGUGUGGCUAAAGGAGGAAUCACGUAUUGGUUCCAAUCGGUAGAUGGAGAUGAGUCCAAAUCAGGUGAAACAAUCAUAUUUGACAAAGAAGGCAUCACACUAGUCGGACGAUUAACAUAAUCGUUAAAUCCCGGACGAGUUGGACUGGAUUUUGAUGGUGAACCGCCGGCUUCAUCAUUAGAUUUUUUUGGAAUAGAAGAGGAGGAAUCAGAACUUUGGCUAACAGAAAUAGGCUCAGCAAACUGCGGAUAUUCUUCAUAUAAAGAUUGUUCGUAUGAAUCUUUUAAUUGUUGGAUCUUUCGUAAAACUUCAAAACGUUUUCCAAAAGAAGUAAUGUUAAGUUCUUUCAAAACAUUGGAAUCUAAGCCUAAUAAAAUUUCACCGGUUAUUUCAUUCUCCGCAAAAUUAGGAGCUACUGAUCCAAGGCCGGCAUUCAUAAGCCAUUCAACUACCUCUUCCGUAGACCAGUUAGGAACAUUUUGAAUUUUUUCGGAAACAGCAAGAGAGGAUGCAGGUCGAUUUUCAAUAUAGGGCAAAGGUGAACUGUCAUUUGGAGUACGAGAUGCUGAAGUUGACAUAUUCUGUAAAGCUGUUUCAAUAUCUGUAAUAGUUUCUCUAACGGAAUCCUCAGCUGACAAAACCUUUUUCAAGCUUGCUGAAGUAGCAGGAGCAGAAGUAGAAGCAGAAGCAUUAUUAUAAUCGGCAUCAAUAGUGUUGAAGUUUGAUAGAUCUGAGGAAGGUUGGUUAUCCAACAAAGGGGAAGGGCCUUCUUGUUUAGAAGAUGGAAACAUUGAGUUAAAAUUACUAGGGACCGAAGGUUUCGAAAGACUAUCAAGGGGGCCGUUUAAGAUUGAUGAGUGACUUGAAGACAAGGAAUUAUUCGAAUACAACUUUUCACUGUCCUUGUCCGAUCGUGAAGAAGUUGACCGGCUGCUUGAUAAAGAGGAUCUUGUGACUUCCGCGGUAGAAAUGGAGAAAUCU